GCUAUAGUUACUAAAUGCAUCUGCUAACACACAGCUUAUGAGUACUGUACCAGACUAAUUUAUCAGUGUCCUGAUAGAGGCCAUUUAUAAAAAUUACCUCUUUUAGAUGUCAGCUUGACAACCUUGGCUAAUGACACAGUCCUCCUGAACAUAUAUUGUGCUAUUAACUGUUUAAAUGCCCGUGAAUUGAUGAAGCACAUUGCUAUUAAACUUGAAAACAGAUUAAAUAUAAACAAAUAUUGUGAUCUUUACAGUGGUUCACACUUUAACAACCGCAGUGUCUAGAUCAAAUUGUGAGCUCUUUAAC